rnacentral:rRNA from 1 species
GUCGAGGAUCUUUGGCAAUGGGCGCAAGCCUGACCAAGCGACGCCGCGUGUGCGAUGAAGGCCUUCGGGUUGUAAAGCACUGUCGAGGGGGAGUAAGACCCGAAAGGGUUUGAACUAUCCCUGGAGGAAGCACGGGCUAAGUUCGUGCCAGCAGCCGCGGUAAGACGAACCGUGCAAACGUUGUUCGGAAUCACUGGGCUUAAAGGGCGCGUAGGCGGGUUCGUAAGUCUGUGGUGAAAGCCCCCAGCUUAACUGGGGAAGUGCCAUGGAUACUGCGAGUCUUGAGGAGGGUAGGGGCAUCUGGAACACUGGGUGGAGCGGUGAAAUGCGUUGAUAUCCAGUGGAACUCCGGUGGCGAAGGCGAGGUGCUGGACCCUUUCUGACGCUGAGGCGCGAAAGCCAGGGGAGCAAACGGGAUUAGAUACCCUAGUAGUCC